rfam:Oryza sativa (indica cultivar-group) chromosome 9, whole genome shotgun sequence.
AAUAAGUACAGUUUUACACUGUUCAUGUUUAACUUUUGACCGUUCGUCUUAUUUAAAAUUUUUUUAGAUUAGUAUUUUUGUUUUUAUUAGAUGAUAAAACAUGAACAGUACUUUAUGUGUGACUAAUUUUUUUCAAAUUUUUCAUAAAUUUUUUAAAUAAGACGAACGGUCGAACGUCUGACACGGUUCUCCACGACUGCACUUAUU